UCCGAGUUCAGGGGAUAUAGGA
rnacentral:piRNA from 1 species